rnacentral:sRNA from 1 species
GCGGCCGCAUUCCGGCGUGAUCCCUGGAAGCUGCCAGCAGGUGCUGCUCAAGAAAGGAACAGCUUCAGCCAUAGGUGACAGUGGCAUACAUCUCACUGGAGACAGAGAAGGACAAGUUGAAAACAUGGAUUUUUGUGUCGUACCAUGUCUUACAAUGGUAUCAUUCAACAAUUUUUAAAAUUAGAUUUUGGAAAACAUUUUCUUAUCUUCUACCCCAUUGUAUUCUUUCAACCGCUCAGUGAAGCCAGUACUUUGAGCCUCACUGCCAAUUUACAGAGCACAGAAUAAAACAAAAGAGAAUAAAAUGAUAUGGGUUGCAGCUUCCCAGUUGAGCAAAAGGAUAGGAGCCUCAGACCCUUAGUUCUGAACCCUGCCUGGAUU